AUACGUAGAUGGCAAGCGUUGUCCGGAUUUAUUGGGCGUAAAGCGAGCGCAGGCGGUUCUUUAAGUCUGAUGUGAAAGACCCCAGCUCAACUGGGGAAGGUCAUUGGAAACUGGAGAACUUGAGUGCAGAAGAGGAGAGUGGAAUUCCAUGUGUAGCGGUGAAAUGCGUAGAUAUAUGGAGGAACACCAGUGGCGAAGGCGACUCUCUGGUCUGUAACUGACGCUGAGGCUCGAAAGCGUGGGGAGCAAACAGGAUUAGAUACCCUGGUAGUCCACGCCGUAAACGAUGAGUGCUAAGUGUUGGGGGGUUUCCGCCCCUCAGUGCUGCAGCUAACGCAUUAAGCACUCCGCCUGGGGAGUACGGCCGCAAGGCUGAA
rnacentral:rRNA from 1 species